CCCUUAGAUGUUCUGGGCUGCACGCGCGCUACACUGAUACUUUCAGCGAGUCCACCACCUUGCCUGGGAGGGUGGGGUAACCUCUGGAAAGUGCAUCGUGAUGGGGAUCGAUUAUUGUAAUUAUUAAUCUUCAACGAGGAAUUCCUAGUAAGCAUGUGUCAUCAGCCCGUGCUGAUUACGUCCCUGCCCUUUGUACACACCGCCCGUCGCUCCUACCGAUUGAAUGGUCCGGUGAAGCGUUCGGACCGUGGCCUUUGGACGGUUCGCCGUCUGUUGGCUGCGGGAAGUUCGUUAAACCUUAUCAUUUAGAGGAAGGAGAAGUCGUAACA
rnacentral:rRNA from 1 species